rnacentral:rRNA from 1 species
AUGGUAAAACAAUACCAGCAAGACCGCCUGAAUGUGCCGAGAAAUCCCGAUAGGAGCUGCACAUAUCUCGUUCUCAGGGCACACCGGAUGGGCAAGACGUCGGGUUGGCAUAGACCCUGGUUGCCCAGGGGGCGCCGGACAUUGCCCAGUUUGGACCAACACUUAGAGAAGCACUGGCCCGGGGGGGUUAAAAUAAAGAUGACCCUCGGGAGCGUGACUCCCAAGGGAAAAGUAGGUGGUGGUGAGGCAAAUGGUAAAACCAAAGUUGGGCCUUGCUGGAGGAGUUUUAUUCAAAGCGAACUGUCAAGGGGUCCCCAUAACACCCAACCGCGUAAGGAACGCAAAAUCAAGGAACAUAACACCGGUAUGACGGAAACUAGGGCAGCAAUAGUGGAACAAAACACUAGGCAUAAGGCCGAGCCUUCCACCCUUUACCAAGUAUAUAGAUGCAUUAAUUAA